GUGGGGGCAGCUGACUCUCCUCAUGGUAUCCUGGUGGCCUUUCUUCUCUCAAGCCUUGAAUCUGCCCCGGAGAGCAGGCUUCUGACUUGACAGCCUGAAUCUAAGGCUUACCCAGAUCUGGAGAGGCCCUUGGGGUCCUCACCUGAGAGAAGUCAGGAUGGAGGUGUGGGAGGACGAAGGCGCUGUGGUCAGCUUCUCAUCACUUGUCAGGACUGCCUCCCCGUGCUGCAGGGACUCGUGAAAGCGGCGGAUGUUCUGCACAUGCUCUUCAUGGCGUGCGGCCUGGCUUCUGAUGGCACCAUUUCUGUCACGGGGAAACCGGGAGGGAAGUCAACUCCUAACCAAGGAGAGAACUCUCAGCAUGACAACUGAGUCAUGUUCUUGAAAUGAAACUGCAGACCUGUCCCACCACUGCAAACAGUUCUGGCUUGCCUAGCUCUUUUUGUAUUACACAGGUUUCUUAAAAAACACUCGCUUUCAGUCUUACCCACUCCACUUCCUUCUGUUCUCCACAUUUGAGCGGGAGUGACUUUUCUAACCAACACCACAUAUGGAGCCUUCCUUAAGGAUUCAACAGGGAUUAAUCUAUUCACCAUUACCAUUCCUUUCUGGCUCUGCCUUUUUUAAUCUACAGAACAAACCUCUAAUUCCUAAGCAUGAUAUUCAAAAAUGUGACCACAACAAUCUUUCUUUUCUCUUAAUAAGGCAGCCUUUUUGAAGUAAUUCAUAAAGCAUUUAGUUAACACAAUUGAAAUAUAUAAUCCGGCAAUUUUAGUAUAUCCAGAGUACAUGAGUGUUUGAUCCCUUAGCGCUGGGGCUGUAGGCCCCUGGCUGUGGAUGCUCAGGAGGAACUGAGCUCAGGUCCUCUGGGAAAGUAGCAGUUACCCUCAACGGCUGACACAUUUCUCCAGGCCCUAUAUUAUAGAACUACCAAACAGUUCUGCAAAGCACUUAGACAACUUUACAAUCUCUCCACAUUCUUCCUUCCUAACACUUGGGAUAUUUUUCCCCGUUACUGCAGUGGGUAUGAAGCUGUACCUCAUUUUGGUUUUGAUUUGCAUUUUUCAUCAUCUCUUGUCUAUCUUCUUUGGAGAAUUCUCUAUCCAGCUACUUUGUUUUAAAACUGUGUUAUUUAAGCCCCUCUACCAGUAUUGGGGGAUCAAACCUAGACAGACAAGUGCUUCUAAUAGAAGCCCAUCAGAUGGGAUAUUUGCUUCAUAUAUUGGAGUUGUUUAUGGUUUAGUUAUAAAUCUCCAUUAGAUCUAUGUUUUGAAUUUAUUCUUCUAUGUGUUUUCUUUUUACUUUCUAUUUUUAGAUUUUUUUCAAAAUUUAUUUUUAUUUUAUUUUAUUUUAUUUGUUUGUUUGUUUUGGUUUUUCAAGNNNNNNNCUGUGUACUUUGGCUGUCCUAGAACUCACUCUGUAGACCAGGCUGGCCUCGAACUCAGAAAUCCGCCUGCCUCUGCCUCCCGAGUGCUGGGAUUAAAGGUGUGCGUCACCACCGCCCGGCUAUUUUAUUUUAUAUGUGUAUGUGUAUGUCGUGUGUGGUGCCUUGGAGGCCAGAGGAUGACAAUGGAUAACCGAGGACUUGGAGUUACAAACUGCUGUGAACCCUAAGAUGUGAGUGCUGGCAGGUGACCUUGGGCCCCCAGGAGUCGCUCUUACCUGCUGAGCCAUCUUCCAGGCCCUUCCCUUUCCUGAUGUCAUCACACACAGCACUCAGGUCUUUACUUCUAAUCAAACAGUUUUUUUUUUUUUUUUCUGCUUGUACCUUUGUCGUCAUAUUUAGGGAAUCAAUAAUUCACAAAAAUUUACACUGAUUAUGUUUUCUUUGAAGAGUUUCUUGGUUUGCUACUAUGUUAACUCCAAUUUGGGGCUGUUUUGUGUAUGGCACUAGGAGGGGCUUGAAUUCAGCCUGCACUGGGGUGUCAAGCUGUUGCUGCUCUGUUUGGAAGUCUGUUCUUUCCUCAUUGGACUGUUCGGGCACAUCUGCUAAAAUUCAGUUCACAUACUUUACCGUUGGAAUAUUAAUUUUAUCUCACUGGUCUGUAUUUCUAGCCUGUGCUGUGUUUUGCUUACUGUAGCAUUGUGGAAUUGGGAACUUUGCUCUUUUAAAAGGUUGUUUUGUCUAUUCUGCAUUUCUCGAAUUUCCAUAUGAAUUUUAGAAUUGGUUCAUUCAUUUCUAGAAAGAAACCAACAGGGAUUUUGAUAUUAUGUUGAACCUAUAUAAGAAUAUUGGAAGUGCCAUAAUAUUAAAAAUGUUAAAUUCAUGAAUCC
ensembl:lincRNA Gm10603 predicted gene 10603